CAGGAGGGAGGGGUAGUAGGAACGCCUCAUUCCAGCUUGGGGAGAGUGGAGGUGGAGGCUCUCUGCUCAGCCUUUCUCAUACGGUAAUGGCCAUGAGGAAAGCCUGCCUUCUGUGCUGAGGAGCUGAGCUGAGGACCCAGGGCCAUAGGACUUCUGCUGUCUUUCCAGAGACAGGGGUGCAACUGAAGGUCUCUCUUCACCCUGCCCAGCCUUUGCCACUGUACUAGCUGUGUGAACUUGGACAAGUCCCCUCACCUUCACUCUGAACCUCUAAAGCCUUGGCAAAGGAAUGAAGAAACAGGACACAGGAUAUAAGCAGCCUGUGUCUGGGGAGAGGCCUGAGAUCCUCCCAGUUGGUGUCGAUGCCUCUUGGAAUAGGAAGAAGCCAGGCUUCUGGCAAGGACAAACCGCUGUGACCCGCUGCCGCCGGAGGUCUUGGUGUGGAGCAAGCCAAAUAAAG